rnacentral:lncRNA from 1 species
AAAAAAAUAAAUACAUGAAACUGGUAUAUAACCAAACAAAAGAAUAAAAUAAAAAUUUAAAGCACAAUUUCCAAACAUAGCCUAAUAUUUAAAUAUAAAAUUGAAGAAAUUAAGAAAGAAAACACAAAACAGCAUUCCCAUUGUUUUGUUAAUUAAUAGUUAAUAAGGGUAGAUAAAACUCUAAUAUAUAAAUUUCACUACCUUCAUACUAUAAACAUCUAUCUCCUUAUGUUAAUUUUUAAUCCCUUUCUGCUUUUUGGCACUAAACAACAUCAAUAAUUAUUCUUGUGAACUUCAACCCAAAACAAUCAUUCUAGCCAAAAUUUUAUCCCUUACCAAACAUUUACCGUUGUAACAUCCUUGAAAUAGCCCUGCUUUUUUUCUUCUUUUUUCUUUUUUAUCAAGUUGGGGAGAAGAAAAUCUUCUGUUUCAAAUAGACUGCUUCAACUUUUAUGUAAGAUCACCGAUCCCAGUUGUACAAAUAUAAAGAGUGAUGAAUGAACAGAAAUCAUCCUUUUCUUUAACUGUUUGCAGAUCUAAGCACCUCAUAAUGACAUAUUUGUAGCAAUUUCUCUAUUGUCAGAGUAAUUUUAAACACAACCAUUCUCCUGAUCCGAAGCAGUAAGGGUUUUUAAAUCAAUUACUAACGGAACUGUUAAAGAUAAAUAAACAAAAUAAUUAAAAAGUGGGUAAUUAAACAAAAUGAUCAUAGAGGUGGUGGAAGAACAAACAAAGCCAAGAAAAGAAAUGAAACCUCCUUGGUUUCAUGUUCCAUAGCAGCUAAAUCUCUACGCGCCGUCACUUUCCACCACCGGCGUCGCGUUCAAAUCCAAAACACCGUUUUCCUCCUCCUCCUCCACCACAGCCGCCACCUCUUCAGCCCCGGAACUCUGGAUCAUAUUCUCCUCCUCGUUAUUUCCACCACCAUCAAUCACUUCCACCACUUUAGCCUCAACUGCAGCCCGCCACCCUUCUCCACUACCCUUUCCAAAGUACUUCGCGGCUUCCUGCAUCCUCCUUAGUAUUGCAAAGAACUCCUCCACCUCCUCCUCAGUCGCCACCGUCACCACCUCGUCCUCAGUCGCCACCGUCACCACCUCCUCCUUUCCCUCCUGUCCCCUCACCUUCUUUUUCCUUCCUUGCUCGCUUUCUUUGUCUCCCCUCCUUCUUUUCUCUUUUCCUCUGUCCAUCUCUCCUUCAGGAACCUUGGAACUUUUAUGCAGACCUUGUAACAUUAUAGAAAGCUCAACCACAGGAUACAAAACUUGUAAAAUAAUAGCGGUGGAGGUAGAUACAUACUUGGAACUGUUUACAUGACAAAACCAUAUGAAUGUAUAUAAUGUGAAUUUAAAAUAUAGUAUGUUUUAAGGAAAUAAUAUAUUUAUAUUCAACUAAUAGUAACCAAGAGAAUAAUUAAAUAAUAAAGUUGAAGACAAUUUCAUUCACAUAAAUCCCGUCCAUUUUAAUAAUUUUCCAAGGUCGUUGAAGACUUGUG